rnacentral:rRNA from 1 species
CAGUCGAGCGGAUGAAGGGAGCUUGCUCCUGGAUUCAGCGGCGGACGGGUGAGUAAUGCCUAGGAAUCUGCCUGGUAGUGGGGGAUAACGUCCGGAAACGGGCGCUAAUACCGCAUACGUCCUGAGGGAGAAAGUGGGGGAUCUUCGGACCUCACGCUAUCAGAUGAGCCUAGGUCGGAUUAGCUAGUUGGUGGGGUAAAGGCCUACCAAGGCGACGAUCCGUAACUGGUCUGAGAGGAUGAUCAGUCACACUGGAACUGAGACACGGUCCAGACUCCUACGGGAGGCAGCAGUGGGGAAUAUUGGACAAUGGGCGAAAGCCUGAUCCAGCCAUGCCGCGUGUGUGAAGAAGGUCUUCGGAUUGUAAAGCACUUUAAGUUGGGAGGAAGGGCAGUAAGUUAAUACCUUGCUGUUUUGACGUUACCAACAGAAUAAGCACCGGCUAACUUCGUGCCAGCAGCCGCGGUAAUACGAAGGGUGCAAGCGUUAAUCGGAAUUACUGGGCGUAAAGCGCGCGUAGGUGGUUCAGCAAGUUGGAUGUGAAAUCCCCGGGCUCAACCUGGGAACUGCAUCCAAAACUACUGAGCUAGAGUACGGUAGAGGGUGGUGGAAUUUCCUGUGUAGCGGUGAAAUGCGUAGAUAUAGGAAGGAACACCAGUGGCGAAGGCGACCACCUGGACUGAUACUGACACUGAGGUGCGAAAAGCGUGGGGAGCAAACAGGAUUAGAUACCC